CGGUAGUAGCGAAGUGCUUCAUUUUCAUGUGGCCUCUUGAGGGCACGUGGUCCAGUUUCCACAGAAGAGUCGGAACUUUGCAGUGUAUGCAGUAUGCCUACGCUGGGGAAAUUAAACUGGAAGACCAACUCCAGUGCACACUAAAUGUACUUCCGACCCUAACAACAAGGACAGGGUCUGAACGAACAAACAGACUAGAGCGCAAUGAAAUGCUCCAGAACACACCUGGCUGAUUGGGAGCAGAGACGCCUUGGAGUGGUUCCCGUCCGCGUGCCUUUGCGCAUCACCGCGAGCGCCACGCGCUUCCGACYGG